GCUACGGGUGGCAGCAGUGAGGAAUAUUGGUCAAUGGGCGGGAGCCUGAACCAGCCAAGCCGCGUGAGGGAAGAAGGUACAGCGUAUCGUAAACCUCUUUUGUCAGGGAACAAAGGCGGGGACUAGUCCCCGGAUGAGGGUACCUGAAGAAAAAGCAUCGGCUAACUCCGUGCCAGCAGCCGCGGUAAUACGGAGGAUGCGAGCGUUAUCCGGAUUUAUUGGGUUUAAAGGGUGCGCAGGCGGCCUGGUAAGUCAGCGGUAAAAGCCCGGGGCUCAACCCCGGCGAGCCGUGGAAACUGGCGGGCUGGAGUUAGAGAUAAGUACGCGAGAGGCGGGGUGUAGCGGUGAAAUGCUUAGAUAGCGCGCAGAACCCCGAUUGCGAAGGCAGCGUACCGGCUCCACAAUGACGCUGAGGCACGAAAGCGUGGGUAUCGAACAGGAUUAGAUACCCGAGGAGUC
rnacentral:rRNA from 1 species